UUAGCUAAGUUACUGUGUUUCUUACAGUAAUGUAGGCAGUGUUGUGCUUCACAAUUAUGCAUGCAGAGAUAGAUUGUGGGGGAAAGCUAUUCCUCCAUAAUGGAUUUAACUUACAGGCCUUCAGUCUGUUGGAAAAAAGAGUUUUAUUGUGUUAGUGAGGGAAAACUUGCAGGUCAGUGGGCAUUAACCUUUAAGGUUGGUAAACACUUGUACACUGAAGCAUACAAUACUGUACAAUUACUGACAUAGGCAUGUGCUAUUCAGGUGUCAAAGCUGUGCGAAACUGGAGGGAGAAACUUGAGAGACCGUGCUGGAAGAAUGCUGGACAGAGUUCACUAAAAUUCAUUAAUUUCAAAGUUCAACAUGAAUGGUGGUGGUCCACUGCAGAAGCAAGCAUUUGAAAAAACAUCAGUUCUUAGUUAUUAAAGAUGCUGUGUUGAACAACUUCCCAGCAGCAACAGAACUGGAAGUGAAGGAUGCAAUGGGGGCAUUUUAAAC